CCUACGGGUGGCAGCAGUGAGGAAUAUUGGUCAAUGACCUGAAGGCUGAACCAGCCAUGCCGCGUGAAGGUCAGUGCCCUAUGGGCGUUAAACUUCUUGGGUGCGGGAGCACUAAUGGUCACGUGUGGCCAGACGAGAGUACCGUACGAAUAAGCAUCGGCUAACUCCGUGCCAGCAGCCGCGGUAAUAAGGGGGAUGCAAGCGUUAUCCGGAUGUAUUUGGUUUAACGGGUGCGUAGGCUGGGAGGUAAGUCAGCUGUGAAAUGCCCCCGCUCAACGGGGUGAAGUGUCAUUGAUACUGCCUUGCUGGAAUGCGGAUGCCGUGGGAGGAAUGUGUGGUGUAGCGGUGAAAUGCAUAG
rnacentral:rRNA from 1 species